GUUGGUAUAGUGUAUAAAGAACAUUGGACUUUCACUCCUAAAGAGCAGAACUUAUCUGCUACCAACU
rnacentral:tRNA from 1 species